GUGACAACGACCAGCCACGUCAAGACAAUGCUUCGGUUGUAGUUUAUAUCGUCAAUCCAUUUGAUGAGAGCAGCGAUCAAGUUCUGAGGAGAGAGUCGUAUUAUGCUUUGCUUCGAGGUUUUUCUGAAAUGGCAUCAGGGUUACCCGAGAAAAUUCGGAGUCGUCUCGUUUUAGAGGUAGGGUUAAUUAUCAAGACUUCGUAAUCCAUUAUGUCAUGUAAAGAAAGUGUCAUUGCGAUAAAAAAUUGCCAAAUGCAA